UACGUAGGGCGCAAGCGUUGUCCGGAAUUAUUGGGCGUAAAGAGCUCGUAGGCGGCUUGUCACGUCGGGUGUGAAAGCCCGGGGCUUAACCCCGGGUCUGCAUUCGAUACGGGCUAGCUAGAGUUCGGCAGGGGAGACUGGAAUUCCUGGUGUAGCGGUGAAAUGCGCAGAUAUCAGGAGGAACACCGGUGGCGAAGGCGGGUCUCUGGGCCGAUACUGACGCUGAGGAGCGAAAGCGUGGGGAGCGAACAGG
rnacentral:rRNA from 1 species